rnacentral:rRNA from 1 species
UGUUACAAUGGCAGGUACAGAGGGGUGCUACCGGGUGACCGGAUGCCGAAUCUCGAAAACCUGUCCCAGUUCGGACUGGAGUCUGCAACCCGACUCCACGAAGUUGGAUUCGCUAGUAAUCGCGCAUCAGCCAUGGCGCGGUGAAUACGUUCCCGGGCCUUGUACACACCGCCCGUCAAGCCAUGGGAGUAGGUAAUGCCCGAAGUCGGUGACCUAACCGGAAGGAAGGAGCCGCCGAAGGCAGGACUUAUAACUGGGGUGAAGUCGUAACAAGGUAAC